rnacentral:rRNA from 1 species
GACGAACGCUGGCGGCGUGCUUAACACAUGCAAGUCGAACGGAAAGGCCCUGCUUUUGUGGGGUGCUCGAGUGGCGAACGGGUGAGUAACACGUGAGUAACCUGCCCUUGACUUUGGGAUAACUUCAGGAAACUGGGGCUAAUACCGGAUAGGAGCUCCUGCUGCAUGGUGGGGGUUGGAAAGUUUCGGCGGUUGGGGAUGGACUCGCGGCUUAUCAGCUUGUUGGUGGGGUAGUGGCUUACCAAGGCUUUGACGGGUAGCCGGCCUGAGAGGGUGACCGGCCACAUUGGGACUGAGCUACGGCCCAGACUCCUACGGGAGGCAGCAGUGGGGAAGAUUGCACAAUGGGCGGAAGCCUGAUGCAGCAACGCCGCGUGCGGGAUGACGGCCUUCGGGUUGUAAACCGCUUUCGCCUGUGACGAAGCGUGAGUGACGGUAAUGGGUAAAGAAGCACCGGCUAACUACGUG